AAAAUUUCUAGAUUAUUUUUAGUAUUUAUUUUGCUUGCACAAACUACUUUUUAAUUCCCGGUCCAGUCACCUAGUGUUUUCAUUGAUUUCCUGAUAAUCAGAAAGUGACAAUCAUUAGUCCUUAGCUACUUAUUAAGGCAGGUUAUAGACAUAGUGUAAAUAACUGAUUAUGAGCAAACACAAGAUAUGAUCUCACUUAGUAUCAUAACUAUAAUGUAAUCAAUCUAUUUAACCAUAUAAAUGCCAAAUGAAGUCUGCAUUGGGAUUUCCCUGAAAUAAC